UGCAUGCCGGGAUGAGGGAGGGGCCCUGAGCGCAGCCAUGUUUUUGUACGGCGGGGGCGCAAAGCACUCUGGGUCCGAUUGGUUUGAUUUUUUUUUGAAGGCUUGGACGGCGGGAACUCUCGUCCUCGUCCUGGGUGAGCGAGAGGAGCGGAGCAAGGAAAUCUGGGUCCCUAUUGCCGCUUUGCUGCCCAACUUCAUAGGAGGGCCUGUGGAAGUCUGAGGAUGGAGUGGGCGAAUGACGGCAAGUCCGAAGGAGGUGUUUUAGCUCACUUGGAAAGACUAGAGAUUCAAGUGAAGAGAUCCCGUAAAAACGUAGAAGAUCCGCAGAGAGCACAGGCAGUUGAAAGCGCUCUUGGGACCAAGAUUCAUAAACUGCGGUGUCUGCGGGAUGAGCUGAGAGCUGAAGUGAAGCAGCAUCAAGCCAGAGUUAAAGCAUCUACUGUCAAUGUAGAACCUGACCAAACACUGGAAAUCAGUGAGGAAGAAGUUGCGGAAAGAAGAAAGGAAAAUGUGAAAGCCAUUCUGCAGGCAUAUCGUUUUACAGGGCUCAGUGGGAAACUGACCAGCCGAGGGGUCUGUGUGUGCAUCAGCACUGCUUUUGAAGGAAAUCUGCUGGAUUCCUAUUUUAUCGACCUUGUCAUACAAAAGCCACUUCGGAUACAUCACCAUUCAAUUCCAGUCUUCAUUCCCCUAGAGGAGAUAUCUGCAAAAUACUUACAGACUAAUAUUCAGCACUUCCUGUUCUGUCUUUGUGAAUACCUAAACGCUUAUGCUGGGAGGAAGUACCAGGCAGAUCGACUUCAGAGUGACUUUGCAGCCUUUCUGGCUGGGCCCUUGCGGAGAAACUCACUGUGCAACUUGCUGUCGUUUACUUACAAAGUGGAGCCACGGGGCCAGUCGUUCCCAUUUUGUGCCAGGCUGCUGUAUAAGGACCUCACGACAGCCCUGCCAACUGACGUCACCGUUACGUACCAGGGAAUGGAUGCAUUAUCCCCUGCCUGGGAAGAACAGCGAGCAUCCCAUGAAAAUCUGUUUUUUUCAAAGCCCCUACAUCAAGUGUUUACUUCAUUUGCAAGAAAAGGAGAAAAGUUGGAUAUGAGCCUGGUCUCCUAGAAUAUUUUCAUUGGGAAUACGUCAGAAGUAAAAGGAAAUAUUGCACUUUCUGCUCUCAUGACUAAGGUGGCAGGGGUUCCAGAAGAACCUUUCAAGAUUAUCAGGAACAUCAGCAUGAGGGCCAGUUCACCUAACCCGGACCACAUGGAGACGAGCAGGUCUCCAGCUUGAAAGACUGCUUCAGGUGAGCGCUGGGGAGCAGAACACUUGCCUGCUCAGCUGUCAAGUCCUGCCGAGUCCUCGUCUGAAGCCCAGCUCUCCCAUCUGUGCUCCCAGCCCAGAAGCAAAGGCAGCUUUGUUCCACCUUGGACACAUUUCCUGCUCACAGUGGCCGUGGCCUCUCUGGGGGAAGGAGGGCUGGUCAGACCCAGAGCCCUGGAAGGAUUGUUCCAGUACUACACCUAAGACCCCUACUCUCUGAGGAAGCUACAGGCACACUGAGGAAUAGUAUGGCCGCCCUCAGAGCUCACGUAUCCAUGAACAAAUGAAGACUUGAGGAGAUUUUUAAACCUAAAGUCUAUGUGAGUGUGCACUUCAAUUUGGGAAUGCUGGGACUUGGUCAUGUGUCCUUUCCCAAGGCCUUUCUGUGAUUCCAAAAAAUGGGUUCUCCCUUCCCAUUUGGACUGUGGUGGGGCUGGAGGCCAUUCAGGAGUUGUCCACCACCUGGUGGGGCAGGGUGACCGAGGAGCCGUUAGGGAAGGCAGCUGGCUUCUCACGCCCCUUCAGGAAAAAGGUUAGCAGUUCCCCCUUCCCUUUCACAAAGAUGGGCCCUCGCCUCACAAAGCGGAAGCCGUACUCUCGGAGGAUGGCUUGUGUUUCUUCCACCACCUGUAGAGGGGGAACAUCGCGUGAGCUCCGAGCAGGGCAGCAGGUCCCAGAGAGCCGGCCCCGUCUGCGCACCAGCGGGCACAGCCGGAGCGCUCGCCACAGUGCUUGCUGUCCCUGGAGGACGGCCUCAGGUUGCCUGCGGCAGCAUCACUCCCUCUUCCUUUGUCCCCUCUCCCCGCUUUGUGGCGCUUUCCUGCCAGACCCAGCUGGCCCGGCUUGGGGAGACUCCAGGGGGGAUUGUUGGAGGCACGAGAUCAGAAAGUUCAUACCAAAAGGCAGGAUAGUCUUACCAAGAAGUUAAGCCUAAAUUUCGGAAAGGGGAGUGAAGUAUUUCCUCCCUUCCCCUGGGGCAGCUCUUGCCACCCUUGCCUGCAGUCUCCCAGAACCACCCCCUCGACACUCCGGGCUGACAGAAAGGCGGCAGAAGGGCACGGCGACACGCCCUCAUCCGCUUUUGUUCCCGGCCCCCGGGCCUGAGCUCACGCUCUGCUCUGCUGCUGGACAUACCUGAAUGUUGCCCAUGACCCCUGUGGACUCCAUCCUGCUGGCCACAUUGACCGUAUUGCCCCAGAUGUCAUAGUGUGGUUUCCGGGCUCCAAUGACCCCAGCCAGGACCCCUCCUUUGUUCAUGCCUGGUGGAGGGACAUAAAAUGGAGCACAGCCACGAGCCAUAUUUUGUCCCCUUCACUGUGCCAUCUCAGAAGCCACCAGCCCCUCUCCCAGAGAAUCCACCACCUGGCCCCAACCACAGAGCUCCUGAGUCUGCCAACCUACUCCUCAUGAAGCUGGUCCUGAAGCCACCAGGGGGCAGAUGCGUCCCCUGUUUAUCCUGUCCUGGCCCGUACGCUAACUAAUUCAUGCAGUAUGGAAGCUGCCAGCUUCACACCUGUCUGGUACUUGAGGUGAGCUCCUCCAGAAGUGAGAAUCCCACCUCCACCCCCCACAGUGGGGACAGCAGGGGACAUUAACAGGCUGGACCGAGGCAGCAAAGCUCUCCGCAGGCGUGCAGGACCGCCUGGGGAGGUGGACAGCCUGCCUUCGCGGCCACACUCAGAAGUCAGGCUAAUCGCGGCGAACGGUGUGGGACACACACAGCUGGCCCUCAUUUCACCAGAUGCGCCGUCCGAUGACCGGGAAGAGAUCCCUAAGGUCCCAGAGCCGUGCCUGUGUGACCCUCCCCACCCUAAAUGCCUCCAGGGCUAAGUCUCGCCCUUCCUGCUGAUGUGCCGAGUCCCUCGCAUCAGGGAGCGCGGCAGGGAGCACCCAGGCCCGAGAACUCUUACCGAUGCGCAGCAUGAAGUUGUUGAAGGACUGGUUGUUGAUGUUUGUGAGCGUAUCCUUCAUGGCCAGGGCAAAGUCGGCCAGAUCGGCCAGGUGCUGCCAGCGCUCCUUGUCUGACUUCUCCUCCUGGGCCGGGGAGCAGCGGCGAGGGCGUCAGGAGCCUGUACGGGCCCCUCGCUCCCCGUCACGGCGUUCUGCAGGUGAAUUCCUGCACCGCGUCGUCCGAGGCCUUAUUCUCCACUUCCCACAGACGAGUCCGUGACCUCGACCUCGGCUUGUCACUGACCGCUCCCCUGCAUCCCUUAGGGCCCGCAGGUGGGGAAGAGCGGUCCGGGCCAGCUACAUCGCUUCCUGUCUGCCAUCAUCCCCGCACCUGAACCUGCGCUCUGAAUUUGGGAUAGUUCUCACUUGCAUUCCUUAACUAGAUUAUAAGCCCUUGGAGGUUAUGACCCAUCUUAGACACAUUUCUUUAGCCUCAUCCAUAAAAUGGAGAUGGUAGUAGUACUUAUAUAGGACAGUUGUAAGAUAAAAUAGGAUGAGAACAGUCUAAGAACAGCUGUUAGGACCAGGGCGCCCACAGCUCAUUUCCUCUCAUAAACAGCUAGCUCCACAGGUCUGAUAUAACAAACAACAGGCUGACGCCAGCCAGUGAGCUCCGAAGACCCCUUUCCUAUCAGAACUACUCCCAACCUGGAUGUUUUCAUUGUUACGUAAUUGCUCGAUGGUCGCCACUCCCCAGUUCUUUCAAAAGUCUAGAGCAUGAAGGAAGCAUUGCCACGAUUAGAGCAGUUAUGUCUGGCCUAAGCUGUGCACCAGUGGGGGGGUUGUGUAGGCUAUUCUUUCUCUGCUUGUGAAACUUGGCCAGUAAAUAGGAUUUUAAAUUUGCAUCACAUGGUGCCGGUGGUGUGUGUGUGACCCGCUGACCCAGCGGUGCUCACUAGCAUCAGCUACCCUUGCGACUCCUUGUCUCACACGCUAGGUGUGGACGGCCGCGCUCUUGCCCCAGGAGGCAGGGCCCCAUCUCCUCCAGCCGUGGGGUGGGCAGCUACCUUGUUGGAGCUGGCAAAGCCGUUGGUGUUGACAUCGGGGGUGACUCCUGAAGCUGCCAUGUAGGUACUGCCAAUGGUUUUGAUCUUGGUGAUGACCCGGAAUUUGGGAUUGUCCAGGAGCUGAGGCCAGUAUCAAAGGAGAGAGAAAGGUCAGCAGAGUCCAGGGAGAGAAGUGAGCCAACUAAGUGGCAGAUGUGCCUGUUUACAACCACCCCAUAAGACAUCCAAGAGAUGCUUUCCUAAAAACUAUCAAUUCUGCCACUUAGCGGUCACAUCAUGUAGGUAGACUUGCUGAUGGAGCCUCUGCUUCUAUGACCUUAACAUGGGACAAAACUGCCAGGCCCCUGGGGUGCUUGAGCGUAUACGUAAAAGUAUUUUCCUUGGUGAUACAAGUUACCUAAUAAAUAUUUACUGAAUCUGAAUUUGAGGGUAGGAGGAAUCCAGUGCCUCAGGAUCUUGUUUGGGCCAGUCCUUAUGCUGUGAUCUUGUAGGCAGCUUCCCGGGCUCCUGUCUUUCCCACUCAGAGCCCCCAGGCAGCAGAAGCCCCCAUGUUACCGGGAGAAGCUCAUACGGGAAAACAGAGCAGCAAGGGUAACUACCAUUUCUCUGAUCCCUGCAGCCUGUCCUGAGGUAGAACCUGGAAAGAGCUGGCUUUGGGGCAGGAGAGGGGCAGGAUGGGCACUCACAGAAUCAAAAUCUGAGAUGAUCUCAUUGAGGAAGCGCAGACACUCAAUGCCACCAUUAUUGAUGCUCUCUUCCGUGUAGAAGUCGGCAAAGUUGGGCAGAGAGGCAAACAUGACUCCAAUCUCAUCGUAAGACUGGCUGUACAGCUCCUAAGAAGAGGCAGGGCCAGAGUGCUCAAAGAAACGCUGCUGGAAUGGCGUGCCCCAGAAACGACUCUGUCUUCCACACCCAUGAUCGGUGUCCUUAGCUUUUUGGAUGGACAUCCCAACUUUGCAUUAUAAGGAAGUGGCUCAUCGCAACUUCAAACAAGUAAAGUUUCUCUGGGCCCUGUAACAGCCCCAGCUUUGAGAAACGGUGGAAGUGAGGCUAAGAACCCUUCUGUGUGAGGAGAUCACAGCUGACAGAGGUUGGGGACUUCCAGGGAUGUGUGGCCCACAGAAAACAUCUAAGCGGUGCCCUUUACCGGAAGCCUGUGACAUGUUACAGUCGCCACUUGCGUGCAGCCCAGCCCGGACCAGUGCCCGCUCCUGAGGAGGCCUUGGGCCCAGAUGGGCUGGCGAAAGCAAGCCGGAUGAAGACACAUAGCCUCGUGGCUGCCGGCUACUGUGUGAGGCCACCCCUCACCUCAUCUCUCUUCUUGGACCCCAGGAAAUGGCGUGCCACGUGCUCAGGCAACAUGUUGGUGACCAAGGCCUCAUUCCAGCGCCGCAUCUCGUAGACACGUUCCUUCUGGUCGUGGACCUCGAUCUUCCACAAGAACAGUGUCCUUGCCAGUUUUUCUACCUGUGGACGGACACAGGCAAGGUGUGUGCUUUAGCCGGCCAUGUGAAGGAAAGACGAAGAAGAGAACUUGGAGGGGUUCCACGGGGAAACACUGGCAGGAAGACUACUAAAUAGCAAGGGAAAGACGACGCAAAGAGACCCACCGACUGAAAAAGGCCACCCUGCAGCUACAGUGGGGUUCCCGGCCUCGCCGUGGUUCUGCAGAGCGCCGAGAGCCUUCUGGGUACAUGGGAGGCUCCCCUAAAUCUGGGACCUCAUUCUAGCGACGGGUCUGUCUUGGAGGCGGAUGGCAGCCGUGGGGAUCUGCCAGCCUAGGGUGAAGUCCCCACUUCCGCCAGGCUCCAUCGGGCUAGAGAAGGCUGUACUUUCCCUGGCAAACCACUGGGGGGCACUUGGGCUCACGGGGAGCUAGUUCCCCGCCCUCUCUCUCUGCUUGCUUCUUUUACCUCUUCCUUGGAACCAAACAAAACUUCAUCAGCUUCUUUCCCUUUCUCUCCUGGCUCCAUGGUGAGUGUGUGAGUAAGUCCCAGAGCCAGGGUGGGUGAAAAUCCAGGGGCCCCUGGCCUAGGAAACAUGUUCUCCAAGCUUUUAGCCUGCUCUGUAUGCUGCUGCAGCAUGUGCCGGAGGCGAUCAGGAGAAGAGGGCAAGGACGGGCCUUGUACGGCGAGGGAGGGAACCGGAAAGCGGAGGGACGGUGGCCCAGCCAGGGCCACGUGCUGGGCUGGGUAAGGGAAGCCAGCAUUCCCAAGGAGCCUGCGUUCUUGGGCCGAGACUGCUUUCUCAGGAGGCCCCACUGGCUUGUAUGCGAGGGGGAGGGGAGGGUGUGCAGGCACUCACGUGGCGUGAGAAGUAGUAGAAGCUCAGCAUCAUGACGAAGAUCAUCAUGGUCAUGGAGUACUUAGAAGGCACCAGGGGCAGGCUGCGGGGCAGAGAGGAGUUUGAUUCCCUCCAACGGGGCUGGGCCUUUCCUGUCACCCUGGGCCAGAAACUCCUCCCAGCUCGUUAAGCACCUUCACAUCAAGUCCGGACUCCCACAGGUGAAUCUUUCUUAAACCACUGGGCUCCCAAUAGGCAGCCCAGCCCUGGCCCCUCCUGGAAUCCACCCGAGGGCGCCCCAGAUGUUUCAUAAAUACUGUAGGUGUGACCACGGAAGCCUCUGGAGAGAGACUAGCGUUGCAGUGAUGGGACGAUGGCACCAUUUAUGAUUCUUUUUUAAUAACUUCACAUUUUUGUAUGGAGCUACAGUUUUCAUUACUAUACAGUAGUCUGUUGUAUGAAUAGAUCACAACUUGUGUCCCCAUUUGCUGUUGAUGUGGUUUGGGUUGUUUUCAUCUGCUUUGGAUGUUUUGUGUGUAUGUGUAGCUAUGAUGAACAACGUGACUGGACAAUCCUACACACACAUCCUGGGAUGCAGAGGUGUGCACGGACUUCUGUAAAGUGUAAGGGCGCAGUGGAAUUGCUGGGUCCUAGGUCUAUUUGCAACUUUACUGAAUAACUCCAAAUUGUUUUCUAAAAUGGUUGUACCAAUUUAUACACCCAUCAGGAGUGAGUUACCGUUGUACUUGAUGUUACCAGACUUCUUCAUUCUUGCCAAACUGGUAGGUGUGUAGUGGUCUUUUGUUGUGGUCCUGGUUUUCACAUCCUUGAUUACAUGAAUGCCUCUCAUUUAUUAGUGGCCAUUUAGAUUUCUUCUUUUGUGAAGGACCUAUUCAUUUCUUCUGCCCUCAUUCUGUUAGGUAAUCUAUUUUUUGUUUCCUUUAACUUACUUGAAGGUCUAAUUAAGUCACUGAAUCACAAAAUUCUAAAACUUUAGAACUAGAAGGGACCUUGGAGAACUUCUAGUCCAAUAUCCUUUUCAAGACAUGAAACAGACUCAAAAACUGGCCUGCCUGCAGCCCCAGAGACAGCCCAGCAGCAGGGGGCAAAGCCUCAUCUUCCAGAUCCUCUGGGCCGGGUGCAGGGCUCUUCCCUCAUUUCUCUGUGGUCUGUCCCGCCGGUUCCCGCUCUCCUCACCUCAACCCAGCCCCCGUCCCACCCCCUAAACCACACUGCUGCUCCUCCCCUGGCUCACUCUGAGCCCGGAUGGGCCGCGACAGCCGGGUCCAUACUGAGGUCAUUCUACCUCUGGCUCCAGCCCUCCUGUGGAAACACAUACUAACUUCCCUAAUGAAUAUCCCACAUCGUAUGCCUCUGAAGGGGUGAGAUCACGGCCUUCUCUUGCUUCCAGAAGAGAGAGUGCGGACCAGAAAGGGGAAAGCCGCUGCCCUCACCUGCCAGUGCCGUUGAGCCCAGGGGUGGAAAAUCCCUGCAUCUUCUCUAAGGCGACCACGGGAAAGCUGCAGGACAGAGGCGCAGACUCAGGCCCCACCUGGGGACAAGCGGCUGAUGCCCAGUGGCCAAACACGGAUCAUCCACUCAUCAAGAAUGGAAAGGAUCUACCCCAGGAUCACAGCCAACUAGUGGCAUCUCUGUCAGAAGCCACGAACCCCGAUUCCCAUACCGUCCUUUGUUGAGCCCCAGGCCCGUGACCUUGAAGUGGGGACUUGGGGGUGGGAGGAAGGAGACAAUACAGAUCCCCAAGUAGGCUUCAUCUUACUCAUGUUCCUGAAAACGUCUACGGUCGUAUUCAUCAAAGAUGGGGCGCCAGGCAUAGAUGUUGAUGACGGCCACGGCCCCGGUGACGAGCAGCAUGAGUGUGAGCUUCACCAUGUGGCUGACCUGCACCAGCAUGAUGGUGGCAAUGAGGGACAGCACGGCGACAUAGUUGUAAUACUUGGGGUUCUCUACGCAGCCAUCCUCCGCCUCCAGCCCUGCGGUGCUGUUGUUCGGUCCCGUGUAGUACUGGAGACAGCUGAGCUGGAGGCCAGGCCCGGGGCGCAGGGAGGACAUGGGGUGCAAGGGAACAACAGACACUGGUCAGAGGCGGCUGGGUCGUGGCCACCACGUCCCACAGCUCCCUCGGGAACACUGACAGACGGGACAACUGACCGAGGAACAGAAUACAAACGUUAGUAAUGCCCACUAAGAGCUGAACCGUAUCUUAUUUGAUGUUUAUGAAAAUUCUCGAGCGUCUCUAGGACUGCCACCUUUACAGCAGAGCCGAAGGGACUGGCCUGGUGCCGAGCAGUGCACUCAGCAGGCGGUAGAGUCAGAGCGAGGAGUGCAGUUUUUAGGUUUCACAUACAACACGCUCUUGCCCACGGCACAGUGUUGCUUAAGGAGGGGCCGUGGGGCCAGCCAGGGAGCCUCCGUCACGGCUUCGCGGCCUGGCAGCCAGUCUCUGCUCAGACGCUUCGGUUUCUGGGGCCUGCUCCCGCCGCUGGGCAGACGGAAGUCAAUGGCAAGUGCCUCCAUCAACUGAAGCCAACCUACUUCCUGUAACUUCCACCCACUCGUGGAAGGUGCUCGUCUGGCUCUGGGAAGUUCUCAGCAUGUGAGAGGUUUUCAUACCUCCCUGGUCUUUCACCCCUCCCCUGGCAACAGGAUCUCGAGAUGUCCUGCAUAGAGUCCGUGACCCUGGUAAACAGUGGUCCCCAGACCCGGCACCAGGCUCCAGGUGUGCUCAGCCAGGUUAGGGGCUCGGGCUUCUCUUCCCUGCGCUUGGGCACCAUGCGACAAGGGGCACAUUAGGUUCUGCAGCUCCUGAGUUCUAGUUGGACUUCGGAUCAACUGGCCCAAGGGAUAAGUCUCCAUGAGGAGAAGCAUCGGCUCUAAAAAUAUGAAUCCAGACUGUGAUUACAUGGCCAUCAGCCCAAAUAACAAUGGACACUGGGCUCAUGAGAGCUGUGUGUACGGGUCCAAGAGAGCCCGGCCUUAAGCUUGGGUGCACCGCUGGCUGACGAUAGGACCCAUGUCACUCAUGUUCCCCAGCUCCAACUUUCUUCUCUGUAAAAUGACGUGGAAGGUCUGUUCUAGUACCAAGAACCUCUGUCCCCGAAGCAUCUGCUGGAGAGUGUGGCUAAUUAUGAGGAUGGAAGAACCACAGGCUGCUAAAACUAUCUGCGCCCUCGUUGCUGAGUUACAUCAGCACGUGAUCUAGAGGCACCAGGGCAGCAAGAAUGGGGUUGCUGCCAACGAGCUCACCUCGGCAGGCAGAGGUCCCUGUCCCACAGCAUCUGCCCUCAUCAGUGAGCGUACUUGGGCAGCUCUUUAGUAAAGGACAGGUCCUGGAUGCUCUCCCAAGAUGGACCCUGUCCUCGGGGGUGGGUAGCACGUUCACUCCUCUGGAAAUCCCCCAUCUGUGCCUGGGACUUGUGGUGUCUGGACCUCACCAGAGAGGUGAGCCCACCCUGAAGUCUCACUUCCAAAACAGUCUCAUCAGAUCCUACAGAAUUUUCCACGGAUGUCCUCACUGCCCUCAAAGCCACAGGAUUCUGGUACAGGAGAGCUACACAAGGCCUCAGAGCUGAGCACCUCUUCUGACCCUCCCCACCCCCACCCCAGUAGCUACUGAGACAGUGGGGCCAGGGUAGGAGGUGAUGCCCAAGGUGACACCACUGAGAAGGAGCGGAGCAUGGGCCAGUGGCCAGGUGUCCUACUCCCGCACAGGACACUUCCGACAGCAACCUUCACCUCCCUGCCCCCUGCCACGCCCUGGCCCUCACCGUACGCACCUGGCCAUCCUGCUCGUCAGGCUCCCCCGAUGUGGAGCCGCUGGUGUGGAUGCUCCCGUUGGGCUCCUUGGUCUCAAUGAGGGCGGGGGAGCUGGGCUUGGAGGAAGCUGGCGCUCCGUUUCGCAGGGCCUGCAGCGGGAAGAAGUGGCCAUCAGAAACCCCAGACACAGUCUGCCCACCCGCCCCAGCGGGCCUGGUUGGUCUACUGUCGGUCUGAAAUCUUGCCAUGAGAGUUUAGAAGCCUGCAGGCUAAGAACUGUCCUACCUGACUCCUCCUCUAGAACGCUGGUUUUAAACGCCGUACACUCCUGGUGUCUAUUUCUACUACUAGAAUUUUUCUAAGUAAAGAAAGACCCUCCUG